GACGAACGCUGGCGGCGUGCCUAAUACAUGCAAGUUGAGCGCUGAAGGUUGGUACUUGUACCAACUGGAUGAGCAGCGGACGGGUGAGUAACGCGUGGGGAAUCUGCCUUUGAGCGGGGGACAACAUUUGGAAACGAAUGCUAAUACCGCAUAAAAACUUUAAACACACGUUUUAAGUUUGAAAGAUGCAAUUGCAUCACUCAAAGAUGAUCCCGCGUUGUAUUAGCUAGUUGGUGAGGUAAAGGCUCACCAAGGCGAUGAUACAUAGCCGACCUGAGAGGGUGAUCGGCCACAUUGGGAAUGAGACACGGCCCAAACUCCUACGGGAGGCAGCAGUAGGGAAUCUUCGGCAAUGGACGAAAGUCUGACCGAGCAACGCCGCGUGAGUGAAGAAGGGUUUCGGAUCGUAAAACUCUGUUGGUAGAGAAGAACGUUGGUGAGAGUGGAAAGCUCAUCAAGUGACGGUAACUACCCAGAAAGGGACGGCUAACUACGUG
rnacentral:rRNA from 1 species